UUUGCCUUUAGCUUCUCUUCUUUUCUCAGCUAUUUCUAAGGCCUCCUCAGGCAACCAUUUUGCCUUUGUGCAUUUCUUAGUUUUGCUGAAUUUCAUAUUCCCAGUCCAGCACAGUCCCCACUUCAUGAUAAAAUCUCAAUCAAUAUCUCUCGAAUAAAUAAAUAAAUCUUUUUCAUGAUUCUUGACUUUUAUUUCAGGUCAUUAGGAGCAUCAUUCAGUUACCAAUAAAUAAAUAAAUAAAACCCUGUCACCCAGUUCUUGAUCAUUUCUUUCCCUAGAAGUAGACCAUGAUUUUGACAUUUUUCUAGUUACUAGCUGGCAUCUCUCCCCUGCAUCAGUCCAGAAGAAGUGCCUUUCACCAUGCAGAAGCACACUGUUGGCACUGGCCAGAUGCCAGUAACUACUAACACUGAGAAAUACUCACUACUGUAGCACUCCUACUACUAGUUCCAGCCGAACCCAUUUCUUAUAUCUUUGUACCUCCCUCAGAACCACAGGCAAUUGGCAACAAAUGAAGCGGAUGUUUCUGUGAGUGUCUGCCAUUCACAGUCUCAGACUUGAGCCACUCAUUCCCACCUUUUCAACACUUCUCAUUUCUUCCUUGUCUCAAAGUACUUGCUACGAUGUAGAUAAGGGUGGCAAUAAAGAGACUAAUUCAGCUGACUGUUUUUCAGUGGGUGAAUUAAAGCCAUCAUCUGACCCUCUGGAAUUCACUCAAAAGUCUAGUUUACUGGCCAUUUUCCAAUUAUGUUAUAAGGAUACAUUCAGUAUCCUCUCUCCUUCCAGAUGCUUAACACUCUCCACUACCCCGCUUCUCUUUCAUCACAGCAUCAGUUAGGUGUGUGUCCAGGCAGUCCCUCUUUGCUUGAUCUGUGUGACCCAGGAGCAGGUGCUUCUUUGCUUGACAAAGGACAAAAGGAAGCAGUUUGCUAGAGUAGAAGGAACACUGUGGGCUCACACCAAGUCACCUGCUCACCAUGAGUGGCAAUAAAUUCCGCUGCAGCUUUUUCGUCCCCUUCCUUGCCAGUUACAGGUCAGUCAGCUGGUAUCAGGGCAAGCCAGCUAAGUCAGCAAGAACUGUCCAUGCUGGCUUAAUUCUGCUGAGUCAGGUACACUCUGGCACAAAAGACACUUUGCUUUGUGCUCUUUACACAAAAGCAGAAUCCUCAAAUUAGACUAAAUAUAGGUUAGACAUAACACAGAACUGGAAGGGGAAGAGAAAUCACUCAU
rnacentral:lncRNA from 1 species